CUGUAAUUUGUUAAACUGGAAACUCCACUGGGAGUUUUGGCUGAUGGCGAAAGGGAAAUUUGUGUAAAGCGAUGCCUUUGAGAUUGCUUGCCGUCUGCUAUUGAGAGUGCUAGAGUAUAAAAUUAUAACCCUCGACCCUCACCGCAGCUUUGUAGAUUCUGUGUAGUGAAAGAGAUUGAAGGGAGCCUGAACACUUGGUCGAUGGCUACAGACUGCAUUGAUCUUGUGUUAGCAUCUAUAUAGUAUCGGCAUCAUUUUUGCCCCACAAAAAACUUUUUAGCUCUUGUGAUUUGAUAGAUGUACUUAUUAUCAGUUUAAACUAAUCCAUCCUUUAUUCAUUGUUGUUGUACAUCGUAACCUUGGCUAGGUGUUUGGCAAUCUGAAAGUGAAUUUAAAAUAUGUAAGUUAUUUUUUUUUUGCAAAUGACUUUUACAUCAA